GAAGAGCAACCACAGAAAAAUAAAGGCAGGACUUUGGAUUCUCAACAACAGAAACACAAGCAGACGGUCAUUAAUACCACCUUCUACCUUCAGAUGUCCUCAAACCGGGACAAGCUCCUAAAUAAUGUGUUUUAGUUACUGAUCAGUCUGGAUGACAGACUGACCGGCGGCUGACCUGUGGGUGUGUUGUGUUCUGCCUUGUGUUCAGGUGUGUUUGCUGUGUUUUCCAGGUGCACAAACAUCUGGAACUUCCUCAAAGCUCCGGAGGCAAGAGUGCGGUCUCCCCUGUGGAGGUUCUGCGCUAUUUCUGCUGCCUGCAGAGAGAAGGGCAGGUGCAACCUAAGAAAACACCACCAGAGGGCAGGAGAGACACGGUGCUGCUGGACACGCAGGCAUACAGAUGGAAGGCAGUGCAGCGCCUGGGAGAGACAUACAGCAUGUCUCGGAUUCGAGAACCACGCGAGCUUUGGUUGCCACCCCUUCCUUCCAGGCCGCUGCUGAUGGGCUUCACUCGGCUGUUGUCUCUUCCACUUGCUCGUAUCUCUCUCUCUCCGUUCCCUCUCUCUCUGGACUCACACUGCUUGAAGGAACCUUCACCACGACGCUACUUCCUGCUGGAGCGAUCCUACGUCCAGUACUACAGAUAGUCACUCCUUCUAAACUAGACAACCGAGGAAGAAACUCAAGGGACUGUCAGGAAUCUGUAUCUCUUUCCUCAGAACUACACUGGAGUAUCCUAACUAAUCUUUAAUAAAAUAAUACACUCAGAUAUUUCUAAACAUUCAACGGCUUUCAGUUUUCUAAC